AUGGCUAUUCCCAAUUGGUGGUCUUCCCAGUUUCUAGCAGUUGGCUAUCCACUGAACCACUCACACUUGCUGGCCACCCUCACCAGCCUGAGAGCCAGUUUAAGAUCACUGAUUGCUGUGUGCAGUGGUAUAGGGAGGAAGAACUUGACAACCGCGGCUGACUGCUUCACGGAUCGCGGAACUCACGCGGUUUCUGUGCUGUGGAGAUGUUUUUCACAGUAUGAACAGAUAACCAGCAAUGAAGACUUGCCAAUCCCAAUGGAAAACCCCUACAAGGAGCCUCUUAAGAAGUGUGUCUUGUGUGAGAAACGUGUAGAUUACAAGAAUGUGCAGCUUUUGUCACAGUUUAUCUCUCCAUUUACUGGAUGCAUUUACGGAAGGCAUAUAACAGGUCUUUGUGGAAAGAAACAGAAGGAAAUAACUAAAGCCAUUAAGAGAGCUCAGAAAAUGGGGUUUAUGCCAGUUACAUACAAGGAUCCUGCAUAUCUCAAAGACCCUAAAGUUUGUAACAUCAGAUACCGAGAAUAAACUUUGUAAAGUUUCUGCCAAUAAACCUGUAAGUGGUUA